CUUGGCUCUAUGAAUGAGUAAAUGGUCAAAAAAGGUAGUAAUAAAGAUCUUAAUUAAAAUGAUUCACUAGGAAUUACUUUGGAGGAAAACUCUACAGAGAUUAGUAUGUUGCUGAUUGCAUAUGAUAGGAAAAUCUAUGGUAGCACAGAAUCUGUUAUCCAGUAUUUAUUUUUAUUUUUUUCCUUUUCUAGGUCAUAACCCUGGACAAAAUGCCAACAGAUUCUUCCCUCCUACCAAACUACUAUUUCCCUUUGUUGCUGGCUUUCUCUUAAGGUUCACAGAUGGUUCAGGUGGAUAUAAUGGAAACAAGCUGCUUAAACCAAUUCACAGAGAGAUUUGAAUGACUGAUCUUUCACAGCCUGCCCUACCCCAGAUGUUAAGAAGCUGUUUCCUCCUCAACUAGAUCAGCAGUGAAAUAUUGAGAUGAAAUAUCCAAGAGAAGAAGGGGGCUUUCACAGGGAAAGAGAUUUAAGGAUUAAUAGAAGAAAUUAAACUGAAUUUUGUCCUCCAUCUGAUUCCCAACUAUGGUUCAUUCUGGUCUCACAAAUUCCUCAACAUACCAAGGUAAAUAACAAUGGUUCUCACACAGCAAUCCAAAUGAGGGUGAAAAUGCAUGCCCACGUGUAUGUGUGUGUGUGUGUGUGUGUGUGUUUAUAAUGGAAAUGAGUUUGAUGAUAGGGACAACAGGGAUGAAUUCUUGUAGAUUGAGGCCUACCCACCAUUGAUGCCUGAUGGUUGUUUAAAUUAAAUUUUAUUCUAGCUUUUACAUGGAAGGUCUAAAAUGUGAAAUGGACAUUUUCCUCUGGUUGGCUAAUUACAGCAUGUGCCAGUAAGAGCCUGGGGGCACAGGGCAACAUCAGGAUGACUGUAUUGGUUAAUCUUUCCUGACCACCCUACAAUAUAGUGCCUUAAAACAACAACAAUCCUUCAUUUUCUGAUGAUUCUGUGAGUCAGCAAUUUGGGAUGAGCUCUGGUUUAUAUAUACUGAUUUUGCCCAGACUCACAUUUGAGGCAGUGAUUUAAAUAGGGGCUUCCUGGUAUAAGGAGGCCUUGCUUAACAUGUUUUGCACUAUAUGGUCUUUCAGCUGGGUACUUCAGUUCUCCUCCGCAUGACCUCUCCAUCAGGCUAGCUUAGACUCAUUCACAUGACAACAGCAAUUCUAAGAAGGCAAAAGUGGUAGCUUCAAAGCUGCCCAUGGCCAAGGCUUGGAAUGCACAUAAUGUGACUUUCUCACUCCCAUCACAUUCUGUUUACCAAAGCAAGUUACAAAGCUGCUAGAAUCUCAGAAUGGAGAAAUAGCCCCACUUCUCCAUGAGGCCUGCUGCAAAGAGCCGCUUUCUAACUGCCAUAAAGACUUAGAAAUAGCACAAAAGGUUUUAAGUGACUUUCUAUUUGAAGUGUUUUGUUCCCCUCCCUUCUCCUUACUCCAAUGAGAUUUUUUUUAUUUGCAGAAAAAUCACAGUGGGAGAGUUCAUGUUCCAAUUAUAAAGUAGGCCCAUGAGAACUGAGAUCUUAGGUUGCUGAUUAUUCCAUUUUAGGAAAAGUGAACCAAGCUAGACUUUAUGAUAGUUUUUAGAAUAUUUCAUGAUAUGUGAUCUGUCUUUUCCAAUAAAUGGUCUCUAGUGGCACUCUUUAGAAGAACUAUAAUCACCAGGAAAUUCAUUAUAUAUCUUCUAAAGUUUUUAUUUUAAAUUGUUUGAGCAGAUGUGCUAAGAUAUUUGCUUUACACAGUUUCCAAAUAUUGACUUUUUUAAAGGAUGUGUUUAUCUUGCAUCCCUUGGGACACAGAUUUAUGUUUCCUACCAUUUCCUAAUAAGGCCUCAAAAGCUAUUUUUUUUCUGGUUGAACAUCUUAUUUCCAUUUUUUAGGCUAACAGGAAAAAAUGUUUAUGGGACUAUUUUAUUGGUGUUCGUAAUGAGAACAUUUAUAAGAGCCAUUGAUUUCUUGUGGUAAGCUUCUGGUCAUGGUGCUGAAGGAAUGUAACAGCUAUACUUAUGUUCUGAGAAGUUGACCGAGGUGCCUCGAGAUCUAGCUCCGCAAGUCACAUAACGUGGCCAUGCCUGUAAAAAAAGAUCUUCAGAGACUCAAUG
rnacentral:lncRNA from 1 species